UCAAGCUAAGAAGAGCGCAGGGCGAAUGCCUUGGCACUGGGAGCCGAUGAAGGACGCGAUAAGCUGCGAUAAGCUGCGGGGAGGAGCAAAUAUCCAUUGAUCCGCAGAUUUCCGAAUGGAGAAAUCCGUAUGGAGAAGUCCAUACAUCAUAUACUGAAUCCAUAGGUAUAUGAGGGAAACCGCCUGAACUGAAACAUCUAAGUAGGGCGAGGAAAAGAAAUCAACCGAGAUACCGCAAGUAGUGGCGAGCGAACGCGGCAGAGGCCAAACCCGUAGUAGAAAUACUAUGGGGGUUGCGGACUGCAUUUAGCAUUGUUGAUCUUUAACCGAAGGGCAUGGGAAGGCCCACCGAAGAACGUGAGAGUCGUGUAGGUGAAAAGGAGAGACAGCGAGCAGGAUCCAGAGUACCGCGGGACACGAGGAAUCCCGUGGGAAGCCGGGGGGACCACCCUCCAAGCCUAAAUACUACCCAGUGACCGAUAGCGUAUAGUACUGUGAAGGAAAGGUGAAAAGGACCCCGGGAGGGGAGUGAAAUAGAACCUGAAACCCUGUGCUUACAAGCACCGAGAGCCCGUCAAUGGGUGAUCGGGUACUUUUUGUAGAACGGUCCGGCGAGUAUAUGGAACAAGCAAGGUUAAGGUCUUCAGGACUGAAGCCGAAGGGAAACCAAGUCUUAAUAGGGCGCACAGUUUGUUUCAUAUGACCCGAAACCGGGUGACCUAUCCAUGUCCAGGUUGAAGUGGCGGUAAAACGCCAUGGAGGACCGAACCAACCCCCGUUGAAAAGGUGGUGGAUGAGGUGUGGAUAGCGGAGAAAUUCCAAUCGAACUCGGAUAUAGCUGGUUCUCCCCGAAAUAGCUUUAGGGCUAGCGUUGUGUUAGAUUACCGGAGGUAAAGCACUGAAUGGUUUAGGGGCUGAUAAAGUUACCGACGCCUAUCAAACUCUGAAUGCCGGAUAAUUGAUGCACAGCAGUCAGACAGUGUGAGAUAAGUUUCAUUGUCAAAAGGGAAACAGCCCAGACCCACAGCUAAGGUCCCAAAUGUAUGUUAAGUGGAAAAGGAUGUCCAGUUGCACAAACAACCAGGAUGUUGGCUUAGAAGCAGCCACACAUUCAAAGAGUGCGUAACAGCUCACUGGUCGAGUGACCGGGCGCCGAAAAUGUAACGGGGCUAAACAUACAACCGAAGCUUGGGCUGCACAGCAAUGUGCGGGGUAGGGGAGCGUUGUGUGCGGGGAGAAGCACGAGCGGAAGCGCGUGUGGACUGCACAGAAGUGAGAAUGCCGGAAUGAGUAGCGCGAAUUAUGUGAGAAUCAUAAUGGCCGAAAGCCUAAGGUUUCUGGAGGAAGGUUCGUCCGCUCCAGGUUAGCCGGGAGCUAAGGUGAGGCCGAAAGGCGUAGCCGAUGCACAUACGGUGGAGAUUCCGUAGCCAUCAAAAGAUUUAAGCAGAGGGACACAGUAGAAGGGUACAUGCCGGGCGUUGGUAGCCCCGGUUGCAAGGGACCGAAAUUAGAGUAGGGAAGAUGGACUUGGAUACUGGCGAGAAAAGCUCUGUGGAUAUCUGCGAUGCCCGUACCGCAAACCGACACAGGUAGGUAGGAAGAGGAUUCUAAGGCCAACGGGAGAAGGGUUGUUAAGGAACUCGGCAAGUUGACCCCGUAACUUCGGGAGAAGGGGUGCUCUGGAAACAGAGCCGCAGAGAAUAGGUCCAGGCAACUGUUUAGCAAAAACACAGCUCUCUGCUAAAUCGAAAGAUGAUGUAUAGGGGGUGACGCCUGCCCGGUGCUGGAAGGUUAAGAGGAGGAGUGAGAGCCCCGAAUCGAAGCCCCAGUAAACGGCGGCCGUAACUAUAACGGUCCUAAGGUAGCGAAAUUCCUUGUCAGGUAAGUUCUGACCCGCACGAAAGGCGUAAUGAUCUGGACACUGUCUCAACAGCCCACCCGGCGAAAUUGUAGUACCGGUGAAGAUGCCGGUUACCCGCGACAAGACGGAAAGACCCCAUGGAGCUUUACUGCAGCCUAAUAUUGGAUUUCGGUAUUUCAUGUACAGGAUAGGUGGGAGACUAGGAAACACAGGCGUCAGCUUGUGCGGAGUCGCCCUUGGGAUACCACCCUUGAAGUGCUGGAAUUCUAACCUGUGGCCAUGAAUCUGGUCAGGGGACAUUGUUAGGCGGGCAGUUUGACUGGGGCGGUCGCCUCCAAAAGAGUAACGGAGGCGCUCAAAGG
rnacentral:rRNA from 1 species